GACAGAGGGGGCAAGCGUUGUUCGGAAUUACUGGGCGUAAAGGGCGCGUAGGCGGCCUUCUAAGUCGAACGUGAAAUCCCCGGGCUCAACCCGGGAACUGCGUCCGAUACUGGAAGGCUUGAAUCCGGGAGAGGGAUGCGGAAUUCCAGGUGUAGCGGUGAAAUGCGUAGAUAUUCGGUGGAACACCAGUGGCGAAGGCGACUCGCUGGACUGAUACUGACGCUGAGGUGCGAAAGCGUGGGGAGCAAACAGG
rnacentral:rRNA from 1 species